rnacentral:rRNA from 1 species
UACGAAGGGGGCUAGCGUUGCUCGGAAUCACUGGGCGUAAAGCGCACGUAGGCGGAUUUCUAAGUCAGGGGUGAAAUCCUGGAGCUCAACUCCAGAACUGCCUUUGAUACUGGGAAUCUCGAGUCCGGGAGAGGUGAGUGGAACUGCGAGUGUAGAGGUGAAAUUCGUAGAUAUUCGCAAGAACACCAGUGGCGAAGGCGGCUCACUGGCCCGGUACUGACGCCGAGGUGCGAAAGCGUGGGGAGCAAACAGG